UGCAGAUACAAUGCGACCAGCUGCCUUCUGCUCCUUCUGUAACACCUUUGCUCAGAUUGGAAGGCACAAGAACCCCUCCUCCCUUACAGUGCUUCUUGUCAGGUAUCUGGGACCAGCAACUAGGCAGUUUCAACUGCAAUGACUAACUAAUAAAGCUGAAUACAAUUCAAGGCUCAGGGACUGCCAGCAACGUGAGGAGAGAUACUGUGAGAGCUGGAACUCCUAGUUGAUGUCUUCACAGGGAGAGAACAUCACUUUCCUCGAUGGACCAACUGACGCCUAUGUGACCCCCCUCACCCACCCAAGAAGAAAACUGCUGGUGCUUUGUCACCCCAACACAUGCUCCUGGCCAGAGCUGGAUCCCCCCAAACUGUGGAGGUCAGCGUUUCACUGGACAGUGCAUCUAGGAGUGAGCAGAGCUGCUUUUUGGAAGGAACAUGAAGAAUGCUGUGGAACUGCAGAUACUCGGGAAGAAAAUAGCCACGUGGUCCAGCGUACUUACAGCAUCCCAGGAGUCACUCUCUCGCAAACUCCCUGGCUCAACCAACCACAGUACGGGUCACGUGAUGCAAUGCAAGACCUGUAGAAAGCCAAACACAUUAUGAUGCGGAUGUUCUCAUUAACACAGCUACGCCACUGCAAGAAGAGCUAGAAUGAACGAGGAAAGAAGAGCUUACUUUUU